rnacentral:rRNA from 1 species
UACGUAGGCAGCGAGCGUUGUUCGGAGUUACUGGGCGUAAAGGGUGUGUAGGCGGUUCUUUAAGUUUGGUGUGAAAUCUCCCGGCUCAACCGGGAGGGUGCGCCGAAAACUGGGAGACUAGAGUGCGGGAUGGGAGAAUAGAAUUCCUGGUGUAGCGGUGAAAUGCGUAGAUAUCAGGAGGAAUACCGGUGGUGUAGACGGCUCUCUGGACCGCCACUGACGCUGAGACACGAAAGCGUGGGUAGCAAACAGG